UGAGGAAUAUUGGGCAAUGCCCGCAAGGGUGACCCAGCAACGCCGCGUGGAGGAUGAAUGUCGUAAGAUUGUAAACUCCUGUUAGAGGGGAAGAAUAGUACCGGUUGGACCGGUAUAUGACUGUACCCUCAGAGAAAGCCCCGGCUAACUACGUGCCAGCAGCCGCGGUAAUACGUAGGGGGCAAGCGUUGUCCGGAUUUACUGGGUGUAAAGGGCGCGCAGGCGGGAUAAAAAGUCAGUGGUGAAAUCCUACAGCUUAACUGUAGAACUGCCUUUGAUACUUUUAUUCUUGAGUUCGGGAGAGAGAGACGGAAUUCCAGGUGUAGUGGUGAAAUACGUAGAUAUCCGGAAGAACACCAGUUGCGAAGGCGGUCUCUUGGUCCGACACCGACGCUGAGGCGCGAAAGCGUGGGGAGCAAACA
rnacentral:rRNA from 1 species